UACGUAGGGUGCGAGCGUUAAUCGGAAUUACUGGGCGUAAAGCGUGCGCAGGCGGUUCGCCAAGUCAGGUGUGAAAUCCCCGGGCUUAACCUGGGAAUUGCGCUUGAAACUAGCGGGCUUGAGUGUGGGCAGAGGGGGGGUGGAAUUCCACGUGUAGCAGUGAAAAUGCGUAGAGAUGUGGAGGAACACCGAUGGCGAAGGCAGCCCCCCUGGGUCAACACUGACGCUCAUGCACGAAAGCGUGGGGAGCAAACAGG
rnacentral:rRNA from 1 species